UAACGCGAAGAACCUUACCAGGUCUUGACAUCUUCUGCCAGGCUGAGAGAUCAGCUGUUCCCUUCGGGGACAGAAUGACAGGUGGUGCAUGGUUGUCGUCAGCUCGUGUCGUGAGAUGUUGGGUUAAGUCCCACAACGAGCGCAACCCUUAUGAUCAGUUGCCAGCAUUCAGUUGGGCACUCUGGUCAGACUGCCGGUGACAAACCGGAGGAAGGCGGGGAUGACGUCAAAUCAUCAUGCCCCUUAUGACCUGGGCUACACACGUGCUACAAUGGGUGGUACAACGAGCAGCGAGACCGCGAGGUCAAGCGAAUCUCUAAAAACCAUCCUCAGUUCGGAUUGCAGGCUGCAACUCGCCUGCAUGAAGCUGGAAUCGCUAGUAAUCGCGGAUCAGC
rnacentral:rRNA from 1 species